AGAGUAUGAUUGCUGACAAAUUUUUCAUCACAUCCCAGAGAAAGUCUUGUCUUCCUUCAUUCAACUCCUAAGUGGGAUCUGCGAUGCAGAUUUAGGAAUGAUGGGUAUGAAAAUAUAGAUUGGGGAGCACGGAGCCUCAGAAUUUGGAACGGGAAGAGAUCUCUGAGAUCGGCUUCCAAUCACUGAGUUUUUCGGAGACUAUUAGAAUUUCUCUCCCCUCAACCCCAUUAAGGUGAUGGGAAUAAUCCUAGCCAAGAGUUCAUGGAGAAGAGCUUGGGACCACAGCUGGGUUGCAUCAGCAGCCAUUGGAAAAAUGACUUCUGAUACUUUGGGUUAAAAUCUUGCUGCCAAAAUAUUCAAAGGAUAUUGGAGUUUUGUUCCUCCUACUUGAAAGAAAAAUGGAGUUUGUGAUGGAGACACUCAUGACAUUGGAUUUUAUUACUGAAAUGCUGCUCUGGACUGACUUUCUGUAUGCAUAAGAACUCUUGAGCUAAGGCAGGAAUACCUUGGAGAGCAUCAAUGAACAGCAGUGUAUCAUGACAACUGUGGCCAGCUUUAGCAGAACAAUUCUCCUACUGAGGGCUGCUCAUCCACCUUUGGUGUCUAUUCAUCAUCUGACUUUCACCUGUGGCUCAAGGAAGCUGUAGCAUAUGCAGUGGCCACAGCCUGGAAAAAUCAUCUUGCCAGAUCAGCUAACCCAGGAUGAGGAUAUCUGACUAGCCUCCAACUUAUCUGUGAGUUAGGAGGAUGUCUACUUCAAGCAUGUGAAGAC
rnacentral:lncRNA from 1 species